UAAACAAUUGGGACAGGAAAGCAUGGCAGAAAGAAAUGAAUGAAAAGUCAACGUUAAGAAUCUACAGAAAAUAUAAAGAAAACAUAAGAGAAGAAAUCUGGUAUGACAACACUGAAAAAACAAUGCUGAUCAGUAGGGCCAGACUAGGUAUACUAGGAUUAAAUGAUAGAAAUAGGAUAAAAGGAGAAGAUACAAAAUGUUUAUGCUGUGAGGAACAAAAUGAAAAUUUGGAACAUUUCUUACUUUACUGUCCAGCAUACAAUGAGAUUAGAAAUAGAUAUAGCUUUAUGCAGCAACCAUAUCAAGAAAAUAAAGAGGAAUUGGUAGCAAAUAUACUCUUAUUGGUAGUUCUACUGAGGGAGGAUGUGGGGAAUAGGAAAGAUUUUAUAAAAGAAAUGUGGUAUAUCAGAGAGAAGAAACUCAAACAAACACAAACAAAGGAGGAAUAAAAGAAGCAAGGGAGCCGUUUCAAAGGCAUAUCCCACCUACUACUACUACUACUUUAAACCUAUAACAAUGGUACCUGAAGCAACGCAAUCAUCUUUUCGAAAAUGCAAUACUACUGACCAGUUCUACGAGCACAAAACCAUCAAGAUUUCCAAGAAGAAUAAACACGUGCUUUAGGAGACACAUAAUUAUAUUCUGGUGAACAAGACCCAAUUAGCAACUGAUGAGAGUGAAGUAGGGAAGACUGUAACAAUAUAUCUGAGGAAUGCAAGUGACUGAUACUUUGGUAGAAAGAGGCCAAAAGACUCACACAGUCGGCAAAGACAAGGUGACAAUUCCACUUCAUCUCCUGAUGGAACAAAUGUACAGCACUUCUGAUGACUGUAGUCAGGGAAAUAACUAUUCAUGUCAUUUGUUUUUCACUCAAAUUGAUCUCAUUAGAGUUAUAGCAACUUGUCAAACUUUUGAUCUAUUUUUUAUUGCUUUUUUGUUGAAUCAAAAUGAAUAAUUUGAUAUAGGGAAGUAGCAUUUUUUUCUAUCUGAUGUUUGUUGUGACUUCAUGCAGCAUGCUACAUACAUUUAGACUAGAAUGUACAGUGCUUUACUAGAUAAUUUGAUAUAGAGAAGUAUUAUUCUUUUCGGUCUAAUGUUUGUUGUGACUUCAUCCACGAUGUUACAUACUUAAACUAUAGUAGAUUCAUAUCUCCAUGUAUUUGAUGUCUAGGCCAGUCCCUUACAACGCUCCUGAUUGGCUGUUGAUAAGCCAAUCACAGGGCUGGAAACUGUCUCUCUCAAGAGUUCACAUAGGCAGGAAGUAUGUUCCACCUCUCCUUAGGGAUACUUUUGAAAGACUUAUCCCUCAGGAGAGGUGGAACAUAGAUCCUGCCAAUGUGAACUCUCUCAAGAGACUGAGAAUUUCCAGCCCUGUGAUUGGCUUAUCAACAGCCAAUCAGAAGCGUCAUAAGGGACUGGCCUAGAAAAUCAAUGCACGAUUGAUGUGAAUCUACUAUAGUACAUACAGUGCUUUACUUAAAGAGGGUCAAUUUGUUUUCCUGCUAUAUUUUUUUUCAAUGUAAUAGUUUUACCUCAUUAUUAAAAUGUUCAGUAAUUUAAUUACCAAGGACAGGUUUAGUUACUUGAUGCUUGUCAGAGGGGAUCUUCAAGUUAGAUUAUAUUAUGCUGGCAAAAAAAGGGUUCUUUUUGCUCGUUAAUAAGGAUUCUUUUAAGUAAUACAGUGUAUGUUGUAAUUUAUGGUGCUUAUUACCUUAAGGAUGAGAUAAAAAAUGCUUCCUAAUGACCAAGUUUUGUAAAAUAUUUUGCAUAGUAAUUAGAUAUUACACAAUUAAGGGGAGUUUAUGUUGUAUGUAGUGAGGUAUGGAGAAUGCAGUGGGUGUUUCAUGAGCAAUUGAAUAUAAUUAAUAUGUUGAAGGGUAACUGUGGCUAGAAAAAUAAGUAUAUGUACAGGUAUAUAUGGUGUUAGUCUUGAAGGAACGCUAAUGAGCAAACAAAUCAGGUAGUUACUGCAACUGUAGGAAAGUUAAUAGUUUUGUAAACCAUUUUUUGCCUUCUGAAUAAAAAUUGAAUUUU